GCCGGCGAGGGGGCGAGGCCGCGCGGCGGAGGGGGCGGGCGGCGGCGGAGCGGCCCCUGGGGUGGGGGUGCUCGCCCCUUCCCGCCCCGCCCCCGCUCCAAGAGGGAGUGGGACGCUCAUUUUGAGCGGGAGGAGGAAAAUGAGUGAUUGCUGAGCCGAUCCCUUGUGUUAUGUAAUGUCUGCUUGGUCUAAUAGUACAUCCUAAGCGUUAGUGCACUGUAGCUAGUUUACGAAGUCUCGUCCCUGGGCCCCCAAAUUUCUUUAGGGAUGGCGCCGUGAUUUGUAAAAUGGGAUGGGGCGGGGAAUCUUUAUUUUCUGGUGAUUAUGUCCUGCCGCGGUGGGCGCCAUGUUUAUCCCGGGGACUAUUUUCUCUAGAUUCUUGGCACCUUUUGCAAAGGAGUACUGUCAUUGAUCCACUUGCUUUGCCUCUUUCUGCGUGUUGUUCUGAUUUCCUUCCUCUCCAGAUGUGGGGUUCCCUCAAACUGCUAGUAGCACUGAACGUUUCUCGGCUUACUUGUCUUAGACAUUCUUAGCUCAGAAAGGUAGUGCUGAAGAGUUCUCAGAGUCAUUUGGUGACCAGUCUCAUCUUCCAAAUGGAACUUAAGAUACAGUUAUACCAUCUCAGAGCAGCUGCUGUUUUGGUGCAGGGGGUAGCCGGUCCCUCCAUGCUCGUAGAGACAUCUCACCACAGCUCAAAACUCUACAGAAAUGGGAUUUUGCUUUUUUUUUUUUUUAAAGACGGAGUUUCACUCUUGUCGCCCAGGCUGGAGUGCAGUAGCUCGAUCUCUGCCCACUGCAAUCUCCGUCUCCCGGGUUCAAGUGAUUCUCCUGCCUGAGCCUCCCAAGUAGCUGGAAUUGCAGACAUGUGCCACCACGCCCUGCUAGUUUUUGUAUUUUUAGUGGAGACAGGGUUUCACCACGUAGGCCAGGCUGGUCUCCAACUCCUGACCUCAGGUGAUCCACCCGCCUUGGUCUUCAAAGUUCUGGGAUGACAAGCACCUGGUUGGGGUUUUACUUCUAUAGUAGUUUACCCUACUAGAUGAAAGAGAAACAGCGCGGGCAGGCCGAAUUUCGAGACCUUGUUGCUCAGGGUCUGAGCGCUUGAACUCUGAAUUCGAGCUGUUAGCACAAUUGUUUUCAAGUUCUGGGUGCAUAAAAAGUACCUUGAAAUUGUUAAAUAUACAGUUUGGAGGGGCCUCAUCCCCCAAGUUUAUUUGAAUGGGGCAGAGUGGGGGAAUGUCAUCUCUACAUUUUAAAAUGAGCAGUCCUACAGCGGAGACUGAUUAACCACUGCUUUGAGAAUUACUGGUCUAACAUAAAAGCGUUCAAAAUAUUAAAACAAUUAAAUGACACCUUGUGCCCUUGAUUUCCUUUCCUUUUCCAGAGCUAUGUUGGUGGUGUAUGUCAAACUAAAGGAGGUAACAGAAUGGACUCUUGGGACGAAUGUGAUUCGUUAGAGUUUCCACUUCCAUCUUGAACUAGUGGUAUAAUCUAGGAAAGCAGUUCUCAAAAUGUGGACAGAUGACCCGUGGGGAUCUCCUCGUACCGUUUCAGGGGAGCCUCAAGGUCAUAACUAUUUUCAAAAUAAUAGUAAGAUGACAUUUCUCUUUUUUCAGACACACUGAUGGUUCAAAAGCGAUGCUGGAUAAAACUCCUGGUAGUACCUUAGCACAAAGCAAGUCAGUGGCACCAAACUACUUACUUGAGAAUGCCCUUGAAGCAGUAUGUACUGGCAGUAAAUUGAAAACGUUAGAUACCAAAUUCUUCAUUUCUGGAUUCUUCAUCUUCAUUUCUGGACUUUACAGCUAUGAAAGAACAAGACAGAGGAAUUCAGAGCUUCAGGAACCAAGUAUGUCAGGAGAGUUUUAGAAAACAGAUCUUUUUCUAAUUUUCUUUGAGAUGAAGAUGGGCAACAUUUGCUGUCCCCUAAAUAGCUUAAAAGUGGACAGGUGUAUCAUUGUUUUUAAAAGGUCUGUCUGUGUCUUGCUUUUACAAUUAUAUAGAUUUUUAUUGACUAGCUGAUCAUAUAGGGUCUUAGUAUAAAGUACACUACUGUAUUUGCUAGCGUUUAAGAAAUAAUCUCCUUCCCCCCAGACAGGUGUUUAUUUGGCACUCCUAUAUUAUGGAUGGAAGGACGAGAUAAGAGACUGGGUAUUGCUAAUAGUUCUGUAUGAGCCUGCAGUGUUAAGUAAAACCUAUUGAGGGUACAAAAAUCAUGUUACCAACACAAUUACUACAAAGUAGAGAAACCACCUGUUACCAAGAUGUCAAAUAAUGCAUUAAUGGAAGAAGGUAAUGUACCUCCUUGGUAGCCUACAUAAUCCACCUUAGAUUAAGUUGUUAUUUAACUAUUGUACAACAUCUUAAGUGAAAAUGGCUGCAUAAAAAUUAAAAAAAAAAAAAAAAAAAGCAAUGUAUAUGUACAAGCUACGUGAAGAUUGCUCCUGGGAA